rnacentral:rRNA from 1 species
UAUGGAAUAUUGCUCAAUGGGAGAAAUCCUGAAGCAGCAACGCCGCGUGGAGGAUGAAGGGUCUAUGACUUGUAAACUGCUGUAAAGAAGGAAAAAAUUCCCAUUAGAUGGGAGAUGAUGGUACUUCUGGAGUAAGCACCGGCUAACUACGUGCCAGCAGCCGCGGUAAUACGUAGGGGGCAAGCGUUGUCUGGAUUUACUGGGUGUAAAGGGUGCUCAGGCGGAUUUGUAAGUCAGAGGUGAAAUCUUACAGCUUAACUGUGAAA